rnacentral:rRNA from 1 species
CCUACGGGUGGCUGCAGUGGGGAAUAUUGCACAAUGGGGGAAAGCCUGAUGCAGCGACGCAGCGUGAGUGAAGACGUCUUUCGGUAUGUAAAGCUCUAUCAGCAGGGGAGUUAAUGACGGUACCUGACUAAUUAGCUCCGGAUAACUACGUGACAGCAGCCGCGGUAAUACGUAGGGGGCAAGCGUUAUCCGGAUUUACUGGGUGUAAAGGGAGCGUAGGUGGAAUGGCAAGUCAGAUGUGAAAAUCCGGGGCUCAACCCCGGGAGUGCAUUUGAAACUGUCCAGCUGGAGUACAGUAGAGGUGAGCGGAAUUCCUAGUGUAGCGGUGAAAUGCUUAGAUAUUAGGAGGAACACCAGUGGCGAAGGCGGCUCACUGGACUGUAACUGACACUGAGGCUCGAAAGCGUGGGGAGCAAACAGGAUUAGAUACCCCGGUAGUC